rnacentral:rRNA from 1 species
GUAACGGAGGAGCACGAAGGUUAGCUAAUCCUGGUCGGACAUCAGGAGGUUAGUGCAAUGGCAUAAGCUAGCUUGACUGCGAGCGUGACGGCGCGAGCAGGUGCGAAAGCAGGUCAUAGUGAUCCGGUGGUUCUGAAUGGAAGGGCCAUCGCUCAACGGAUAAAAGGUACUCCGGGGAUAACAGGCUGAUACCGCCCAAGAGUUCAUAUCGACGGCGGUGUUUGGCACCUCGAUGUCGGCUCAUCACAUCCUGGGGCUGAAGUAGGUCCCAAGGGUAUGGCUGUUCGCCAUUUAAAGUGGUACGCGAGCUGGGUUUAGAACGUCGUGAGACAGUUCGGUCCCUAUCUGCCGUGGGCGCUGGAGAAUUGAGGGGGGCUGCUCCUAGUACGAGAGGACCGGAGUGGACGCAUCACUGGUGUUCGGGUUGUCAUGCCAAUGGCACUGCCCGGUAGCUAAAUGCGGAAGAGAUAAGUGCUGAAAGCAUCUAAGCACGAAACUUGCCCCGAGAUGAGUUCUCCCUGAGACUU